GUGCUCCCUUUAGCAGCACAUAUACAAAAGCUGGAAUGACACAGAGAAGAUCUGCAUGUUCCCUGCAGAACAGAAACAGAUUUACAGACGUUGACAACAGACUU
rnacentral:snRNA from 1 species